CCUACAAUGAGCCCGCCGAUUGGCCGCAGCUGGGGCCGCGCUGCCUUGUGAGGUAGAAGCCGGGGGCGGGGAAGCACCGCCUUCCUUCCGGUCCGGCUCGCCGAGAGCAGGAAGCGGGCGGAAGCAGGUGGCUCUCGCGAGCAUUUAGUCAGCCCAGCUAGGCUCGAACGGAGGGUGUUUCUUAAAGGGAGAGGCGCUUGGGUUAUCUUUUCCGUCCCACUUUCUUGAAUGGAAUGGACCUCUGAGGUUCCACGACGCGCCUCCACUCGAGCCGGGACGCGUGGUUUGAACUGCUUCUGAGAAGCCUCAAAGAGGCGCCUCGCGCUUUGCUGCUUCUUAGCAGACGGAGCGCUCGGGCCUGCGUGCAUCACAGCUGCACGGACUAGUGUUCAAGCUCUCCGCCAGGGUAUCCGGAUUGGGAAACUUCUCCCGGGUAGUCUGGCACCCCGACACCCUCGGGGACAAAAGAGCCACUCACGUCCCGCCUUCGCGCCUUAGUGCUAAGAGAGGUUCACUUUGGACCUGGAACUUUACGAGGGGGAAGAAAGCAGAGACUGACUGAGUUUGGAGACCUGAAGUAUCUGAUGCCACGUAUGGUUUCGUCUGAGCUCCUGAGAGUGGAAGGGGGGAGAGUAUUGAAGCAAAAUGGGCAGCUCUCUUUUGGAGUUAGGAGUUGUAGUUGGCUACUUUAUGUCUCUUCACCUCAGCUGCAGUCAUUCAAAUAUUUGGGUCCGAACUGUUCCAGGCCGGGUUUUCUUGAGAAGAUUGAGCAGAACCAAACAGAAUCCUUGUUCUAGAGAGUAGGUCUUCCUAUAACAUGAAAGAAUAAUUAGCAGGAUGAGAGUGAGCCAUGCCCUUGGACCACCUGGAGAGGAGGUAAGUUCUUAAUGUUUCCAUUGCUGCCUUUUUUAACUAAGUAGAGAUCCUUGUAGAAUAGCUAGACAGAUGCUAAUCUUUUAGUUCAACUCCAUAAAUAUUUAUUAUGUACUAGUUUUCUGUCUUGCACUGGGAUGAGUGCUGAUUUUUUUUUUUUUUUUUUUUUUUUUUUUUUUUUCCUGCCCUGUUGUGUGUGGAGUUCCUGGUCCAGGGAAUCAGAUCUGAACUGCAGUUACUGUGGCAAUACUGGACCCUUUAACCCAUUGCACCGGGCCAGGGAAUCUAACCUGCAUCCUGGCCCUGUAGAGACACCGCUGAUCCCCUUGUGCCACAGUGAGACCUCCUGAACGUUCUUUAGAUGUAGUGCAGUCCUUGAAUUUAUGGUCUUUUUUUUUUUAGGGGAAAUAAGAUAUAGCAAUAUUGAACAAUAGAUAACAAUAUAAAAGAAGUCCUGUUUAUAGGAUUGAGCCAGAAAUGAACAAAUUAAGCCUGGAACACCUUACUAUAUUAGUAAGAAAGGAAAUAAACAAAUACUGCUGUGGUCUUUCUCUUCUUUUCUGUGGUACUUUUAAUGCCCCAGUAAGCUUUUUGUUUUCUUAUUGCGUUCUAAUCGACAUCUAACAUCAUGUUAGUUUCAGGUGUACGACAUGAUUUGCUCUAUGUUUAUAUUGUGAAAUGAUAACAGUAAGUCUAGUUAAAAUCCAUCAUCAUACAUAAAUAAUUUUUUUUUCUUGUGUUGAGGACCUUUAAGAUUUACCUUAGCAGCUUUCAAAUAUGCAACACAGUAUUAUUAACAACAGUCAUCAUCCUAUACAUUACAUCCCCAAGACUGAUUUAUUUUAUAAUUGGAAAUUUGUAACUUUUUGAGCCCCUUCGUCCGCUUCACUCACUUCCUGUCACUCCCACCACACUGCCAGUCUGUGCUCUGUUUACAUAAGCUUGGUUUUUUUAGAUUCCAAAUAUAAAUGAGAUCAUACAGUAUUUGUCUUUUUUUUUUUUUUUUUUUUUUUGCUUUUUAGGGCAGAACCCACAGUGUUAGGAGGUUCCCAGAUUAGGGGUCUCAUUGGAACUACAGCUGCCAGCCUAUACCACAGCUACAGAAACUCGGGAUCUGAGCCGUGUCUGCAACCCUACACCACAGCUCAUGGCAAUGCCAGAUCCCCGACCUGCUGAGUGAGGCCAGGAAUUGAACCCCCAUCCUCAUACAUACUAGCUGGAUUGUUUCCCCUGCGCCACAACAGGAACUCCAGUAUUUGUCUUUUUCUGACUUACUUACUAGUAUGUUGCUUUCAAGGUCCAGCCGCAUUAUCAUAAAUGGGAAGAACUCUUUUUUAUGGCUGAGUAUUAUUCCAUUGUGCAUAUACACAUCUUCCAUCUCCAUUCAUUCAUCACUGGAUACUUAGGUUGUUUCCAUAUCUUGGCUACUGUAAAUAAUGCGGCAGUGAACAUGGGGGUGCACGAAUCUUUUCAGAUCUGUGUAUUUGUUUUCUUUGGAUAAAUAUCCAGAAGUGGAAUUUUUGGAUUUAAUUUUUUGAGCAACCUUCAUACUCUUUUCUGUAGUAGCUGCAGCAUUUUACAUUCCCAGUCAUGGUGCCCAGAGGUUUCCUUUUCUCUACAUCAGUGUUACCACUUUUUCUUGUCUUUUCGAUAAAAGACAUUCUAAUAAGUUUGAGGUGAUACCUCAUUGUGGUUUUGAUUUUUCUAAUGAUUAGUGAUAUUUAGGACUUUUCAUGUACCAAUUGGCCACCUGUAUGUCUUUUUUGGGAAAAAAGUGUAUGUCUUAUGCUCAUGUUUUGCUUGUAUUGGGUUUGUUUUUUUGUUUUUUGCUGUUGAAGAUCUAGCAUUGCUGCAGGUGUGGCAUAGGUUACAACUGUGCCUUAGAUCUGAUCCCUGCCCUGAAACUUCAUGUGCUGUGGGGCAGCAAAAAAGAAAAGAGAGAGAGGGACACUUAAGCAAACAAUAUAGGGUUUGGCCUUUAUUGGUUCUUCACUCUUUAACAGUUGAAAAAAGUUAUGAAACAAUUGGGAUGAUUUGAACAUUCAAGUUUAUGCUUUCAAGGAGUUAUUUAAAUGUCAUGAUAUUGUUAUAUUUUAUAGAAUAAUCCUUCUAGAGGUCCAUAUUGAGAUGUUAGAGUUAGAUGUUAAUUAGGGUUUCCUGGAAUUUGCUUCAAAAUAAUCCAAGAGAAGAUGGGAGAAAAUAUAAUAAAAGCUGUAAUAAGUUGCUGAAUCAAACAUUUAAAAGUUGAAAGAUAAGAAUUAGAGUGAAGUAGGCAGUAUGAGCUGAAUGAGGAAGGCUUCAUGGAAGAGGGUUGACACAAAAUGGAAAAGCAGGAUUGGGGAUGGCAGGGGGUAUGGCUUGAAUUUAAGUGGUUAGACUAGUAAGGUAGAUUGAUUUUCUCUUUUAGGAAAUAGGUGGUUCUUAGCUUUUUGGUCACAGAUUCCUUCAAGAAAUCAGUAAAAGCAGCAGACUGUUUUCCCAGAAAAAUUUAAGUUUUGCAUUAUUGCAUUUUAUAAUCAGUGGCUUGUGGACUUCCCCCCCCCCCCCCCCCCGCCGCCGAAAUCACUUGCGUGGAUUCCCCUAUAUCUCUACCUUCAGGGUCAGGGUCUACAAGAAACUGUCUAAGAGCUUACAGUUUAGGGGGGAACAUCUUACUUUACUGGUUCCUGUGAUCUCAUUCAGAGUGGAACCUUGUAAUUAUUAAUGGCUAGUUCAGCUGCGGUAUUCUCUUUAGUGUGAAGAUAAAUUUGUUUCCUGACCUGCUGCAGCAGAGAUGGGUUUGAUGAUGGUGUAUUUUACUAGGUUUUACCAUAUGAAAUUGCUGAUAUUCAGCUGUUUUUGAAAUGGCUAUUUUGGAGUUCCCAUUGUGGUGCAGUAGAAAUGAAUCCAUCUAGGAACCAUGAGGUUGUGGAUUCAAUCCUUGGCCAAUGGGUUAAGGAUCAAGCAUUGCUGUGAGCUCUGGUGUCAGUCACAGACUUGGCUCAGAUCUGGCGUUGCUGUGGGUGUGGCGUAGGCCAGCAGCUGUAGCUCUGAUUCGAAGACCCUUAUUCUGGGAACCUCCAUAUGCUGCAAGUGCGGCCCUAAAAAGCAAAAAAGAAAAGAAAGAAAUGGCUAUUUCAAUAAUGGUUCUUUCUGUAAUUGCUAAAUUAUUUCAUGCUGAUCAGAUAUAGGGUAGGUUACCUGAUAGAGGAUACAAAAGGAAGAGAACAGCCCU